rnacentral:sRNA from 1 species
GGUUCGAAUCCUGCACGACCCACCAAUUUAACAUCAAACUCAGAUGUUGAACGUGAAGGAUAACGUUGCGUCAGCAACGGCCCGUAGGGCGAGGCGAAGCCGAGUCAUCCUGCACGACCCACCA